rnacentral:rRNA from 1 species
UACGGAGGGAGCUAGCGUUGUUCGGAAUUACUGAGCGUAAAGCGCACGUAGGCGGCUAUUCAAGUCAGAGGUGAAAGCCCGGGGCUCAACCCCGGAACUGCCUUUGAAACUAGGUAGCUAGAAUCUUGGAGAGGUCAGUGGAAUUCCGAGUGUAGAGGUGAAAUUCGUAGAUAUUCGGAAGAACACCAGUGGCGAAGGCGACUGACUGGACAAGUAUUGACGCUGAGGUGCGAAAGCGUGGGGAGCAAACAGG